CCUACGGGUGGCUGCAGUGGGGAAUAUUGGGCAAUGGGCGCAAGCCUGACCCAGCAACGCCGCGUGAAGGAAGAAGGCUUUCGGGUUGUAAACUUCUUUUAAUAGGGAAGAGCAGAAGACGGUACCUCUUGAAUAAGCCACGGCUAACUACGUGCCAUCAGCCGCGGUAAUACGUAGGUGGCAGGCGUUGUCCGGAUUUACUGGGUGUAAAGGGCGUGUAGCCGGGAUGACAAGUCAGAUGUGAAAUUCCGGGGCUCAACCCCGGAACUGCGUUUGAAACUGUUGGUCUUGAGUGUCGGAGAGGCAGGCGGAAUGCCUAGUGUAGCGGUGAAAUGCGUAGAUAUUAGGAGGAACACCAGUGGCGAAGGCGGCAUGCUGGCGGACAACUGACGGUGAGGCGCGAAAGCGUGGGGAGCAAACAGGAUUAGAUACCCUAGUAGUC
rnacentral:rRNA from 1 species